rnacentral:lncRNA from 1 species
AUGAGAAAUCCUGAUAAUAAUGUAGAUAUCUCACCUCUAGUUGUUUCUUCUUUUAAUCCUGAUAAUAAUGCAGAUAUCUCACCUCUAGUUGUUGUUUCUUCUUGUAAUCCUGAUAAUAAUGCAGAUAUCUCACCUCUAGUUGUUGUUUCUUCUUGUAAUCCUGAUAACAAUGCAAAUAUCUCACCUGAAGUUGAUGUUUCUUCUUGUAAUCCUGAUAAUAAUGAAGGUAUCUCACCUCUAGUUGUUUCUUCUUGUAAUCCUGAUAAUAAUGCAGAUAUCUCACCUCUAGUUGUUGUUUCUUCUUGUAAUCCUGAUAAUAAUGCAGAUAUCUCACCUCUAGUUGUUGUUUCUUCUUGUAAUCCUGAUAAUGCAAAUAUCUCACCUCUAGUUGUUGUUUCUUCUUGUAAUCCUGAUAAUAAUGCAGAUAUCUCACCUCUAGUUGUUGUUUCUUCUUGUAAUCCUGAUAACAAUGCAAAUAUCUCACCUGAAGUUGAUGUUUCUUCUUGUAAUCCUGAUAAUAAUCCAGAUAAUAAUCCAGAUAUCUCACCUUUAGUUGUUGUUUAUUCUUGUGAUACUGAUAAUAAUGCAAAUAUCUCACCUCUAGUUGUUGAUUCUUCUUGUAAUCCUGAUAAUAAUGCAGAUAUCUCACCUCUAGUUGUUGUUUCUUCUUGUAAUCCUGAUAAUAAUGCAAAUAUCUCACCUCUAGUUGUUGUUUCUUCUUGUAAUCCUGAUAAUAAUGCAGAUAUCUCACCUCUAGUUGUUUCUUCUUGUAAUCCUGAUAAUAAUGCAGAUAUCUCACCUCUAGUUGUUGUUUCUUCUUGUAAUCCUGAUAAUAAUGCAGAUAUCUCACCUCUAUUUGUUUCUUCUUGUAAUCCUGAUAAUAAUGCAGAUAUCUCACCUCUAGUUGUUUCUUCUUGUAAUCCUGAUAAUAAUGCAGAUAUCUCACCUCUAGUUGUUGUUUCUUCUUGUAAUCCUGAUAAUAAUGAAGGUAUCUCACCUCUAGUUGUUUCUUCUUGUAAUCCUGAUAAUAAUGCAGAUAUCUCACCUCUAGUUGUUGUUUCUUCUUCUAAUCCUGAUAAUAAUGCAGAUCUCACCUCUAGUUGUUGUUUCUUCUUGUAA